rnacentral:lncRNA from 1 species
CAGAUAAACAGCAAGGGAUAACAGAAGUGUAGGAUUGAUUGUGAGCUUCUCCCCCCAAACUCAGAAAAACUGCCAGGCCUAUGGUAACAUCUCCGUUUUCAGAAGCUCAGAAAAGUAAGCUGCUUGCUCAAGAAUGGACGGCUUCAAGGUGGCAGAGCUGGAAGUUUCUAACUCACUCACCUCAUACUCAGACCUGCACUGUUUUUCAAGACAGUCAAUAUUUCAGUCAGGCCAUCUACUGAUUGGAUGAGGCCCACCAGCAUUCUGAAAGGCAAGGAAUCUGAGACCUGGCUGGGAGAAGAGGACUUGCCUAAAGUUAUCCCACACAGCAAAUUAGUUGGAAAACCAGGAUAGUUGAGUAAAUAUCCUGGAGCCCAGCCAAGUAAUGAAGCCAGAAUUCAGAAAGCUGUUUUGGCUAGAUCUUGGAUUUUUACAAUAAAGGGUCUGUAAGGGAUAUUUGUGAAAAAUGUUGACACUUGACGGCUGUCCUGAUUCAUUCAGCUACCUAGGUUAUCUCUGCCUCUCUUUGACUUGUGUUUUGUCUUUUAAGAUGGCAGUCUUGCUCUUUUGCCUGGGCUGGUCUUGAACUCCUGGGCUCAAGCAGUUUUCCUGCUUUAGCCUCCUGAGUAGCUGGGGCUACAGGAGGACAUCACUGUGCCCAGCUCUCUCCGUAUCUUUGACUAGGUUAUUUUACAACCCCAUACGAUAGAAAUGAAGUUAUAGAAAACUGAUAGGAAUACAAAUAAUUAUUAUCCAUGGAAAUGCAAAUUGGAUCUAAUGGAAUGAAACUGAUUUUUUUUCCAGCAGAUAGUGACCACCUUUGUAUCCUUUUGUAAAUUCAUUUCAGCAUUCCAUAUUUGACUAAAAAUGUGUGACACUCCCAAUUUGCUUUUGAAUUCAUUGUAAUAUCUACCAAUUCC